rnacentral:rRNA from 1 species
UACAGAGGUGGCAAGCAUUGUUCGGAAUUACUGGGCGUAAAGGGCGCGUAGGCGGUCUUGCAAGUCCCGUGUGAAAUCCCUCGGCUCAACUGAGGAACUGCACGGGAAACUGCUUGGCUUGAGUUCGGGAGAGGGAAGCGGAAUUCCGGGUGUAGCGGUGAAAUGCGUAGAUAUCCGGAGGAACACCGGUGGCGAAGGCGGCUUCCUGGACCGACACUGACGCUGAGGAGCGAAAGCCAGGGGAGCAAACGGG